rnacentral:lncRNA from 1 species
UUUGAGACCAGCCUGGGCAACAUAGUGAGACCCCAAACCUGGAAAUGCCUGGCACAUAGUAGGUGCUGAAUAAGUAUUUUUUGACUGAGGAAUGAAUCUCCCACUCUCUCAUUCAUUUCUCACCAUAUAUUGGCCACUUUCUACAUCCCCAGCACAGCCACACUUAUGGAAUGAAAGGACCCCAGGCCAAACUUCUUUGACCAGAUGGGGAAACUGAGGCCCAGAGAGUCACAGAUACUUGACGGGGGUCUCACAGCUCAGCAGCUGGAUGAAGUGAAGGGCACCUAAGCCAAGGGCUUUCUCCACCUUCCCCUCCCUGUCCUGGUUAAGGGAACUCUUGAUGGGGACUGCCUGGGUGGUGACUUUGUGUCCUCCUGCAGGCUGUCUACCUGGUCUCCAGAAUGGACGGCCCUGUGGCAGAGCGUGCCAAGCAGGAGCCCUUUCACGUGGUCACACC